rnacentral:rRNA from 1 species
CAACGAUGAAGAGUUUGAUCCUGGCUCAGGAUGAACGCUAGCGGCAGGCCUAACACAUGCAAGUCGAACGGUAACAUUGGUGCUUGCACCAGAUGACGAGUGGCGCACGGGUGCGUAACGCGUAUGCAAUCUGCCUUGUACUGGAGUAUAGCCCAGGGAAACUUGGAUUAAUCCUCCAUAGUAUAUAGAAAUGGCAUCAUUUUUAUAUUAAAGGUUACGGUACAAGAUGAGCAUGCGUCCCAUUAGCUAGUAGGUAUGGUAACGGCAUACCUAGGCAACGAUGGGUAGGGGUCCUGAGAGGGAGAUCCCCCACACUGGUACUGAGACACGGACCAGACUCCUACGGGAGGCAGCAGUGAGGAAUAUUGGACAAUGGGGGCAACCCUGAUCCAGCCA